rnacentral:rRNA from 1 species
GACGAACGCUGGCGGCGUGCCUAAUACAUGCAAGUAGAACGCUCAAGAGAGGAGCUUGCUCUUCUUGGGUGAGUUGCGAACGGGUGAGUAACGCGUAGGUAACCUGCCUUGUAGCGGGGGAUAACUAUUGGAAACGAUAGCUAAUACCGCAUAACAUUGUAUGACCCAUGUCAUUUAUUUGAAAGGGGCACUUGCUCCACUACAAGAUGGACCUGCGUUGUCUUAGCUUGUAGGUGAGGUAACGGCUCACCUAGGCGACGAUACAUAACCGACCUGAGAGGGGGAUCGGACAACAUGGGACUGAGACAAGGCCCAGACCCCUACGGGAGGAAGCAGUAGGGAAUCUUCGGCAAUGGGGGCAACGCUGAACGAGCAACGCCGCGUGAGUGAAGAAGGUUUUCGGAUCGGAAAGAUCUGUUGUAAGUCAAGAACGAGUGUGAGAGUGGAAAGUUCACACUGUGACGGUAGCUUACCAGAAAGGGACGGCUAACUACGUG